UGUGAGUGGAGGCCUAACUCAGAAUUUACUGGCUGUGCAACCCCGGGUAGUUCCUUGUGUUCUCUGUUUUAUAUUUCACAUGGAGAAAGAACAGUGCUCUGACUUAGGCAGAGCCAGCACUCCGAGAAUCCUCACUUACAGAGGAGGAAGCUGAGGUCCAAGAUGGAUUCUCUCUAUCUGUGAUUCCACAGCCCAAUCGUCCAGAAGCAGAACAACCUCAACUCCAAAGCCAAGGCCCUACAGGAAGCCAGAAAGAGCUCAUGGAGUGCAAGUGACUUUCCCAACAUUAUGGAGAGAGGAGGUGCUGUUACUGGUACCCUCCUAUGCCUGGUCCAAGCAUGUCCAUACGAGUAUUUCAUUACCAUUCUAAAAGUGUUAUCAGACGUUGUUGCCUCCUUCUUCACCAACCUAUCAUCGAUCAGCCUAAUAAAUGGAGCAGAGCAUGAAGAAGGCAUAAACAACAGGGCCCAUAGGAUUUGAGUGAUUCACUGGAGGCUGUGAGCCAGCAAGUGGCAGAGUGACGUUCGGUCUAGUUCUCCGGAGUGCAGCUUCCUGGUCCCUGCUC
rnacentral:lncRNA from 1 species